ACCCGCUGAACUUAAGCAUAUCAAUAAGCGGAGGAAAAGAAACCAACAGGGAUUGCCCUAGUAACGGCGAGUGAAGCGGCAACAGCUCAAAUUUGAAAUCUGGCUCUUUUAGGGUCCGAGUUGUAAUUUGCAGAGGGCGCUUUGGCGUUGGCAGCGGUCCAAGUUCUUUGGAACAGGACGUCACAGAGGGUGAGAAUCCCGUACGUGGUCGCUAGCCUUUACCGUGUAAAGCCCCUUCGACGAGUCGAGUUGUUUGGGAAUGCAGCUCUAAAUGGGAGGUAAAUUUCUUCUAAAGCUAAAUACUGGCCAGAGACCGAUAGCGCACAAGUAGAGUGAUCGAAAGAUGAAAAGCACUUUGGAAAGAGAGUUAAAAAGCACGUGAAAUUGUUGAAAGGGAAGCGCUUGCAGCCAGACUUGCCUGUAGUUGCUCAUCCGGGUUUUUACCCGGUGCACUCUUCUAUAGGCAGGCCAGCAUCAGUUUGGGCGGUUGGAUAAAGGUCUCUGUCAUGUACCUCUCUUCGGGGAGAACUUAUAGGGGAGACGACAUGCAACCAGCCCGGACUGAGGUCCGCGCAUCUGCUAGGAUGCUGGCGUAAUGGCUGU
rnacentral:rRNA from 1 species